rnacentral:tRNA from 3 species
GGAGACGUGGCCGAGAGGCUGAAGGCGGCGCUUUGCUAAAGCGUUAUACGUGCUAAAACGCGUAUCGAGGGUUCGAAUCCCUCCGUCUCCGCCA